GUAAGUGCCUCGGAAAGGCCUUUAAGUGGAAGAAGAUCAACUAUAGUUCGCAUGUAUGUGUUGAUCCUACAACUAAUGACACCGAAACGACGCGGUGGCGAAUGGAAAUGAGCAGGAGAAAGAAAAAGAUUAAUAAGAGGAUGAGAGAUAAUGCAAUCACUGAAUUCAGCACAGCAAACUUAAAUUGGAAGAGUCACGGAGCAAUGCAGCACAGAAACAGGCCAUUUGGCCCAACUCGUCAUUGACGAUCAAGAUGCUAAAGGUCUUCAUGUGCAUGCAAAGGUUUAACAAGAACAAAUCCAGGUUUCAAUGUACCGUGGACCAAUCUGAUUUGGAAUCUGGAAGAUUAUUUACUUGAUUACUAAGAAACCAG